CUGGCCCUUUGAAGGUAACACCUACACCGCUGCCCCUGUUAUUGGAGGCUCCUACUACAUACAAUGUCCACCAAACUUCAUUAAUGCUCUAGGUAGGAGGGAGUUCGACUAUGAAGUUGGCUAGACAUUGUCCUUUGAUGGGGCCACGCGGCUUAAACCAUAGGCCUAAUUCUAAGAGCUCAACUGACCAUGCUACCAUUCCUCCAACAAUUUCUGGUUUCCUAAGUACUUCCUUUAGGGGCUGAUCAAUUUUCACUGUGAUCUGAUGACUUCGAA
rnacentral:lncRNA from 1 species